rnacentral:lncRNA from 1 species
GCUGUUCAGAGGUGGAGAAUUUGGUAGGAGCAGAGCAAGCAGUUCCCCGAGAAGCCUGGUGUGCUCAUGGAUAUUCAGUGCAGACACAGUUCAAAGAUUGGGCAUCAGUGACAGACCAAAGAAAGGACUCCACUCCAAAUUCAGUUUAGUGAACCAGUGUGUUCACCCGGGUGACUUCCAGGAGCAUGGAUGACGCAAAGAAGAGCCCUUCCAAACUCCCUGCCCUUGUACGAACACAUCAUGUUGGCUGCGGACUUCAAGUUAGCUAGACUUGGAGACUCCUGUUGACAUUUUGAGUUGUCUUUCUUGGUGUGACAGGAAGUGGACAUCCCAAUCAGGCGAAGAAAUGAUGACAGGACAGAUAUUUUAAGCUCCUGCUUGGCUUCUCCAC